rnacentral:lncRNA from 1 species
GAAAUAUUUUUUUAUUUAGUGGUGCAACUACAACUUGUAGAUACACAACAACAAUCACAAUCUGGUAAGAAGUCUGAACCGCAACAACAACCACAAUCAGUUGUGCAACAAUCUG